UACGGAGGAUGCAAGCGUUAUCCGGAAUCAUUGGGCGUAAAGGGUCCUGAGGUGGUUUGCUAAGUCUACUGUGAAAGAUCAGGGCUCAACCCUGAAAAUGCGGUGGAAACUGGCAGGCUAGAAUACGGUAGGGGCAGGGGGAAUUCCCGGUGUAGCGGUGAAAGUGCAUAGAUAUCGGGAAGAACACCAAAGGCGAAGGCACCCUGCUGGGCCGAUAUUGACACUGACAGACGAAAGCUAGGGAGCAAACCGG
rnacentral:rRNA from 1 species